rnacentral:rRNA from 1 species
UACGGAAGGUCCGGGCGUUAUCUGGAUUUAUUGGGUUUAAAGGGAGCGUAGGCCGUCUGUUAAGCGUGUUGUGAAAUGUCGGGGCUCAACCUGGGCAUUGCAGCGCGAACUGGCAGACUUGAGUGUACAGGAAGUAGGCGGAAUUCGUCGUGUAGCGGUGAAAUGCUUAGAUAUGACGAAGAACUCCGAUUGCGAAGGCAGCCUGCUGUAGUGCAACUGACGCUGAAGCUCGAAAGCGUGGGUAUCGAACAGG